rnacentral:rRNA from 1 species
CGCUGGCGGCGUGCUUAACACAUGCAAGUCGAACGGAAAGGCCCUGCUUUUGUGGGGUGCUCGAGUGGCGAACGGGUGAGUAACACGUGAGUAACCUGCCCUUGACUUUGGGGAUAACUUCAGGAAAACUGGGGCUAAUACCGGAUAGGAGCUCCUGCUGCAUGGUGGGGGUUGGAAAGUUUCGGCGGUUGGGGAUGGACUCGCGGCUUAUCAGCUUGUUGGUGGGGUAGUGGCUUACCAAGGCUUUGACGGGUAGCCGGCCUGAGAGGGUGACCGGCCACAUUGGGACUGAGAUACGGCCCAGACUCCUACGGGAGGCAGCAGUGGGGAAUAUUGCACAAUGGGCGGAAGCCUGAUGCAGCAACGCCGCGUGCGGGAUGACGGCCUUCGGGUUGUAAACCGCUUUCGCCUGUGACGAAGCGUGAGUGACGGUAAUGGGUAAAGAAGCACCGGCUAACUACGUG